rnacentral:rRNA from 1 species
GAUGAACGCUGGCGGCGUGCCUAAUACAUGAAGUCGAGCGAACAGACGAGGAGCUUGCUCCUCUGACGUUAGCGGCGGACGGGCGAGUAACACGUGGAUAACCUACCUAUAAGACUGGGAUAACUUCGGGAAACCGGAGCUAAUACCGGAUAAUAUAUUGAACCGCAUGGUUCAAUAGUGAAAGACGGUUUUGCCGUCACUUAUAGAUGGAUCCGCGCCGCAUUAGCUAGUUGGUAAGGUAACGGCUUACCAAGGCGACGAUGCGUAGCCGACCUGAGAGGGUGAUCGGCCACACUGGAACUGAGACACGGUCCAGACUCCUACGGGAGGCAGCAGUAGGGAAUCUUCCGCAAUGGGCGAAAGCCUGACGGAGCAACGCCGCGUGAGUGAUGAAGGUCUUCGGAUCGUAAAACUCUGUUAUUAGGGAAGAACAAAUGUGUAAGUAACUAUGCACGUCUUGACGGUACCUAAUCAGAAAGCCACGGCUAACUACGUG